CAUCGUCCAACCAUCUUUAAUUUCUUUUUCAUUAAAAAAGUAAUAUCUGCUUCAAAUUUUGCCACAAACUUCUUUAGGGUCUAAAGUGUCGUUUUAUUGAUUUCAUGUUUUACUUUCGUCCAUCAUUUCAUCUUUGUUUCUCUUUGCAUCAUUUCAGAGCUAGCAAUGAAUCAGCAUAUUAAUUCUUGACAGACAAAUGAAACUCAGAAGGAGGUGAUUAGGAAGAAAUAUGGCAACUGGCUUGAGAAGCAUGGCAAGAGUGGGAAGUCUUCUGUCAACAAUUCAUUGGGUCAAUGAAUGUCUUGAAGCUCUCCACCGAAACAAGGUCUUGGUGCUCAAAGGUGAAGGGUGCAUGCAGAAGAUAAAAUGCUUCAUUUACUGUUUAAAAAUGAAUAACUAAACUUUUAAUGCACACACUAUUACCAACUGUGUAAUAAAAUCUAUUAUAUUUGAGUAUAAUAAUUAUGCAAUAUUUACACAAAUAUCUGUAUGGCGGGAUAUAAUUGAACUUUGUGUAAUUUUUUUUACA